GUUUUCCCCUGACAUUAAGUCCAUUAUAAAUGGGUUAUAUAGCUGUGUGGAAGGGCCUUGAGUCUACACUGCCAUACAAUCCAGUUAAAAUCAGAUAAUCUGUAUUUUAUAGGCAGUGUGGAAGAGGCCUAAGUGAGGCCUAACUGUGCCUGUCCUCUGGGCUGAGUGGGUUGCUAGGAGACCAAGUGGGUGGAGCUUAGCCUUCUAACUGGCAGCAAUUGGAUAAAAACAAUUAUUCCUCUCCCUCUAAUUAGGACUUUAUUUUUCUUUUCUUUUUGUUGUUACACAUGGCUAGUGGUCUGCUAAUGGGAGUUGUGUCAGGGAUCUCGAAGGCAGGGUUCCUGUUACAGAAUAGGUUCUGUAUGCUUUGGAGAUUCUAUAUACCUGUCUCUGGUGAUUCUGAAUAAGAUGCUCCUCCACUUUUGUGUUGAACUUGCUGACGUGGAAGACCAGCCCAUUCCCUGUGGUUCACAAGGAGACUGAUUUAUACCAUUCUCCAAGCACUCCCCAAGUGCUUAACAGUGGCCUUGCUUACUGUUGCAGCAAAAUGUGACUGUAGAUAGUUGUACGAUCUUAGACUGUAGAUGUAGAUAUCUCAAUGCUGCUGCUAUCCAUCCGCACCUUCGCACCAGAGAAGAUGUCCUUUAGUUCCAUGGGUUUGUCAGAGUAAAGCAGGGAAUCUCUGAAGACUCUUCCAGACAGCAGCUUCCUGUGUUGGACUGUGCCACAGUGGCUCCAAGAAUGGCUGACAGGAGAAUAAAGAUAAGGUAACCCCUGCUCCUGGCAGAUGUGGGACGAGAAAAGAGAAUAAGAAAUACCAGGU